rnacentral:tRNA from 1 species
UAGGAUUUAGCUAAGUGGUAUAGCAACAAUUAAAAUCUCAACUUAAAUUGAAGACAGAGUUUCGAUUACUCUAAUCCUAA